rnacentral:lncRNA from 1 species
CUUCAAGGUGAUCAAAUGGGAAUCCCAUCGGAAUCGAACCACAGAGAUGGUUGUUGCUGAGGUCCAAAUGUCCGAUGUACUUUGCCGACGACAGAGAUUUCGGUAUCGCGCCUUUCAAUUUGUUGAAUGACAAGUCCAGCACGGAGAAGUACGUCCGUGGAGUGAAAACGUCUGGCAAGUAGCCGUCGAGAGAGUUUCGGCUCAGAUUCACUAUGUUUAGACCAGUGUUGCUUAGUAGACUUACCGGAAUUUGUCCGGUGAGUUGGUUGCUGUCUAAAUUGAGUGUCGAGAGGACAGGCAUUGAACCGAGUUGAGCAGGAAUUGAACCGGAGAUCCUGUUCAUCGACAGAUCUAAAUCUGCGAGACGGUAAAUGCCGGCGAUUGAGCUUGGAAUGCUACCUGAAAUUUGGUUACGGUUUAAAAGAGCUCUGCUCAUCAUCGAUAGCUUUCCGAGAUCCGCAGGGAGUACGCCGGUGAUCUGAUUGUUGCUCAGAUCUAGGUGCAUUAGCCUCGCGAGGUUCACAAUGGACGAUGGGAUCUCACCGCUGAUUUUGUUGUCAGCGACGUUCAGAACAGUUAAUUUCCCUAACUUUCCGAUGUCGGCAGGGAGUUUUCCGGUGAGCUGGUUCCCGAUGAGGUCUAGGAUGCGGAGGUGAGGGAGAGAAGUUAUACACGCCGGUAUCUCACCAGAAAUCCCCUUCCAGUCGGCGACAACAAGCGUUGUAAGCCGGUCCAGCGAACAUAGAGAAGGAGAGAGUGAACCGGUCAUGUACCCAGACCGGCCGGCCUUCUCGAAAAUCUUAUCUUCCGACUCGCCACGUAGUACAACGUCAUUGACCCGACUGUCAGUCGGGUCGCAGCUGAUUCCAUACCAGUUACUGCAGCAGUCUGUGCCGGUCCAGGUCUUGAAGAUGCCCAAAUAAGGCUCAUUCAAGGCGGACUUGAACGCCAACAAUGCUUCCCGGUCCGACGGCGGGCAUGAGUUGACGACGGUGGAGCUAAAGACGGCGACUAAUAAUACCACCACCAGAUAUACACCG